GAGUUUGAUCCUGGCUCAGAAUGAACGCUGGCGGCAUGCCUAACACAUGCAAGUCGAACGAGAUCUUCGGAUCUAGUGGCGCACGGGUGAGUAACGCGUGGGAACCUACCUUUUAGUACGGGACAACGUUUGGAAACGAAUGCUAAUACCGUAUACGCCCUCCGGGGGAAAGGUCAGCCGCUGAAAGAGGGGCCCGCGUCUGAUUAGCUUGUUGGUAAGGUAACGGCUUACCAAGGCAACGAUCAGUAGCUGGUCUGAGAGGAUGAUCAGCCACACUGGGACUGAGACACGGCCCAGACUCCUACGGGAGGCAGCAGUGGGGAAUAUUGGACAAUGGAGGCAACUCUGAUCCAGCAAUGCCGCGUGUGUGAUGAAGGCCCUAGGGUUGUAAAGCACUUUCAACGGUGAAGAUGA
rnacentral:rRNA from 1 species